UAAUAACUUGAGUUUUACUUCUUUGGGUUAGAUAUUUUCAUAACAUAUUCGGUUACCAGUGAACUAUAUUCACAAAACUUUUUGGAUGUCUGAUUAGAAAAAUAGGUAUUAAAAUAAUUUAGUUAGGAGAUAUCUUUGUUCUAGAUGAAUUUUCUAGUGUUGGACGAUUAAGAAAGGCAAUGCGAAUUUUCAUUUCCAUGAUUUCAAUAGUGCCGAGAAACCUGAGCAGAAGAAAGUAUAUGAGAUUAAAUUUCUGACAUAACUGAAGUUGUACAUGCAUUACUGGACUUGCAAUCUUCAAGAGAUGAUACGUUGGGAACAUUUUGAAUGAAAAGUAGUGAUUUGACUUGGAAUUUUGCAAGCAGUUGAAAGUGAUCAAUAAUUAAACCGUUCGACAAGAAUUUCAAAUUUCGUUAAUGAAAUUACAACUGUAGAAUUAAUUUUCAGGCAGUCUCGUUGAGUUGGUUGUAAUUGCUGGAAAAUAAUUUCUGUGUUGGCAUUUCGAACUGCAUAAUAUGUUUUCAUCCAAAUAAAUUAUCUCAAAUAAUUACAUUAAUUUAUUUCCACAAAUUACAUAAUUCAUGUGAGUGUGAUGAUAGAAUGAAAUCUGCUGGUUAUAAGUUCUUGUAAAAUAUUCAUCAAACGACACCAACAUGUUCAGGAAAGUUCUGGAGGAACCCGAGCACAAUCAAUGAUCCCAUAAUUAUUCACUACCUUCACAAAUAUCUCUAUAUUCGAAUAAAAUCUUCGAUAACAUUGCUUUCACAAUAGAGUUUUCACGAUGAUUACUCAUUUUCCGCCAUGUUUGUUGACAAGUCGCAGCGCCCUCAUCGGUAGUUGGAUUCGCCUAUAAU